rnacentral:tRNA from 1 species
GAUCCGGUAGUUCAGCUGGUUAGAAUACUUGCCUGUCACGCAAGUGGUCGCGGGUUCGAAUCCCGUCCGGAUCGC